AUUGAACGCUGGCGGCAGGCCUAACACAUGCAAGUCGAGCGGAUGAAGGGAGCUUGCUCCUGGAUUCAGCGGCGGACGGGUGAGUAAUGCCUAGGAAUCUGCCUGGUAGUGGGGGAUAACGUCCGGAAACGGGCGCUAAUACCGCAUACGUCCUGAGGGAGAAAGUGGGGGAUCUUCGGACCUCAUGCUAUCAGAUGAGCCUAGGUCGGAUUAGCUAGUUGGUGGGGUAAAGGCCUACCAAGGCGACGAUCCGUAACUGGUCUGAGAGGAUGAUCAGUCACACUGGAACUGAGACACGGUCCAGACUCCUACGGGAGGCAGCAGUGGGGAAUAUUGGACAAUGGGCGAAAGCCUGAUCCAGCCAUGCCACGUGUGUGAAGAAGGUCUUCGGAUUGUAAAGCACUUUAAGUUGGGAGGAAGGGCAGUAAGUUAAUACCUUGCUGUUUUGACGUUACCAACAGAAUAAGCACCGGCUAACUUCGUG
rnacentral:rRNA from 1 species